CAUAACGACUCUCGGCAACGGAUAUCUCGGCUCUCGCAUCGAUGAAGAACGUAGCGAACUGCGAUACUUGGUGUGAAUUGCAGAAUCCCGUGAACCAUCGAGUCUUUGAACGCAAGUUGCGCCCGAAUCCUCUGGACGGAGGGCACGUUUGCCUGGGUGUCA
rnacentral:rRNA from 1 species